rnacentral:rRNA from 1 species
GACGAACGCUGGCGGUGUGCUUAACACAUGCAAGUGGUGCGACGAACCAGAGCUUGCUCUGGGGCAAAGCCGCGAACGGGUGAGUAACACGUGGGUAAUCUACCCCGAUGACCGGGACAACCCGAGGAAACUCGGGCUAAUACCGGAUGUGGUGCGGAGACAUAAGUCUCUUCACUAAAGGUAGCUUCGGCUUCCGCAUUGGGAGGGGCCCGCGGCCCAUUAGCUUGUUGGUGGGGUCAAGGCCUACCAAGGCAACGAUGGGUAGCUGGUCUGAGAGGACGAUCAGCCCCACUGGGACUGAGACACGGCCCAGACUCCUACGGGAGGCAGCAGUGGGGAAUCUUGCGCAAUGCGCGAAAGCGUGACGCAGCAACACCGGGGGAGGGAAGAAGGCCCUAGGGUUGGAAAACUCUUUCAGAUGGGACGAAGGUUCUCCGGUGAAUAGCCGAGAGGAUUGACGGUACCGUCAGAAGAAGCUCCGGCUAACUACGUGC